rnacentral:lncRNA from 1 species
AAAGGCUGAAAAUGUGCAUAUUCCUCACUGGCAUUUUCCAAAAGAUAAAAAUGGUCCAAGAUAUAUACUCUCAGUUUGAUUUUCUUCUGACACUGUCAAGAUAAAAUGCAAUGCCACUUGCUUUAAGAGGACAGAUGAGUGACCUAGGGAAAAUUCUAUUUCAUUCUAGAAUGGAAACGGUUCCUUAAUGGCACUUUAACCAGUUAAUUUGGUGCAAAACUUUUGAUUCUCUUUUGUAGCUUGAGCAGGGAGGACCCGAAGUUCAAAAAUGAUUUCACUGCUGGGCAUCAUUUGAGAUGUGUGGUUCAAUGUGCUAUACAGAUGAACAGGUUAGGUCUGAUGUCCUCAUUCUCAAUUAGGAAAUAUAAAAUUCUUUAAUCUCCAGAAGAAUCUGAUAUCAUUAUAGUGAAGACUCCAUACAGACACAUGAAUUAAUUAUAUUGUCUUUACCUUGAACUUGGCCUUGGAUAUUUCAAUUUUCUUGUUACAGGGUAAUUUAUGUUUUCCUGAGUGUCACUUGAUAGGCUAUUUAUAUUGGAACUCAAAGAAAGCCAUACUCUGGGCGUUUCUGCAUUUCCUUCAAAAAUAGCGUGGGAUCACAUUUAAACAAUUGUUGGAUAGCUGGAAACAGUGUUUUUAGGUCAGACCAGGCUUUUGGUCUUUUACAAUUUUUGAUUGAAAGCACUUUAGUGACUUGGAUUUUGUAAAUGUUUCCUUUCCUGCGUUUCCUUUGCCAUUUCUUUAUUAUUUAAAAAAUAAACAUUUUGUGGUGUGUUUGCUUCUCAAGGCACUCCCUCUAUUACACACAUGCACAUCUCCACUAUCUCUGAUCCCAGCCAAACUCUCCCUUCACCCCUUCUCAAUCUGGGGACACGUGACACAUUUUAUUUAUUCUUCAGGCUGCAGCUCUUAUCAUGUGUUGCUUUGUCAACUCCUCUGGGGCAGCAGCUGUGUCUGACUCACUCUUUGGAGUUCAGAGUCCAGAGAGAUACCUUCUAGUUGAUGGGAAAAUGUGGUGCUUCGUGAAGAAGGAAGGGCAGUGCAAGGAAAGUGUGGAGCUGCUCAUUGUGAGGGCUUUCUCUGGGAACUGGCACAGUGAUCUGUCAGGCCAGGCUUGGUGGUCCCAUCUCUGCAGAGGAUGAGACAUUGGGCUGCAGAGAAGUGAAAUGAACCUGCUAAGCCGAUUGUCAAAUGGAUGAGAAACUCAGAGCCAAGGAUCGGGAAAACACCCUUAAAGAACGAGGUGAUGGCUGAGUCUGUCCCAGGCCAGUGCUUUGAUAAGGCUGUGAUCACCACAGUGGGAUAGUAUUGGCUCAGGGGGAAGAAUGGACCCAUGCAGCAGGAAAAGGAGCAGGCAGCACACACAGUGUGGACACAAAGCUGGUGUGGCUGACACCUGGGGAGGGCUGGCUUUUUGGUAAGUUACUGGGACAACUGUUUGUCCAUAUGGGAAAACAUACAAUUGGACCUGUACUUCACACCUUACAGGAAAACACUUCCAAGUGGAUUAAAGACAUGGUGUAUAUGUUUGGUGUGUGAAAGGCAAAACUAUAAAACUUUCAGAUGUUUUGAUUUAGAAGAUCCUUCAAUUCUCCCCAAACUGUGGCUUAAAACAAUCAUUUUAAGCUCACAACUGUGUGCAUCUAUUUCAGCUAGGUUCGCCAAGCCACAGUCUCUUGUUCUCUCUCAGCCCCACCUUCCCCUCUCUUUCUACCGACAUAUAUACAAGAGUUGUUGAGAAAUGCUCUCCAUUUUCCAGUGCAAACUUCUGCUCCUGGAGACUCCUAUUCACUGGACUUUGCAGGAGACACACAGGCUCCCCAAACCCUGCUGUGGUGCCUGAUG